UUUUGAAGGCUUGUAAUGAGGCUGGGCUAACAAGAAAAAUUGGUUUUUCUGGAUAAUAAAAUCCUUGAGUUAAGAGAGCUACAUUAACAUUCAAAGUUCAAGCCCAACUCUCUUCUUCACCAAUCUUACCCAUUCCCAACUUCUUUCUUUUAUUUUUACAUUGAGCUUACUUCAUGCUUUUUUUUUUCUUUUCUUUUUCUUUAUUUCUCAUGCAUUUUUCUUUUUCAUCACUUGAGCUCAAUGCCUUUUCUUUCCCAUUUAACUUUCCCCAUACAAC
rnacentral:lncRNA from 1 species